rnacentral:rRNA from 1 species
CCAAUAGCGUAUAUUAAAGUUGUUGCAGUUAAAAAGCUCGUAGUUGAAUUUCGGGAUCAAUAUGUCGGUCGUGCCUUCGGUACGUACUGGUAUCAUUGGUCUCUCCUUUCUGACGAACCAUGAUGUCAUUAAUUUGGUGUUAUGGGGAGUUAGGACUGUUACUUUGAAAAAAUUAGAGUGUUUAAAGCAGGCUUUAGCUUGAAUACAUUAGCAUGGAAUAAUGAAAUAGGACGUUCGAACCUAUUUUGUUGGUUUCUAGGAUCAACGUAAUGAUUAAUAGGGAUAGUUGGGGGCAAUAGUAUUCAAUUGUCAGAGGUGAAAUUCUUGGAUUUAUUGAAGACUAACUACUGCGAAAGCAUUUGCCAAGGAUGUUUUCAUUAAUCAAGAACGAAAGUUAGGGGAUCGAAGACGAUCAGAUACCGUCGUAGUCUUAACCAUAAACUAUGCCGACUAGGGAUCGGAUGAUGUUAAUUUUUUAAUGACUCAUUCGGCGCCUUACG